rnacentral:rRNA from 1 species
UGGGAUAACACUUGGAAACAGGUGCUAAUACCGGAUAACAACAAUAGCUGCAUGGCUAUUGCUUAAAAGGCGGCGAAAGCUGUCGCUAAAGGAUGGACCCGCGGUGCAUUAGCUAGUUGGUAAGGUAAUGGCUUACCAAGGCGACGAUGCAUAGCCGAGUUGAGAGACUGAUCGGCCACAUUGGGACUGAGACACGGCCCAAACUCCUACGGGAGGCAGCAGUAGGGAAUCUUCCACAAUGGGCGAAAGCCUGAUGGAGCAACGCCGCGUGAGUGAAGAAGGUUUUCGGAUCGUAAAGCUCUGUUGUUGGUGAAGAAGGAUAGAGGUAGUAACUGGCCCCUAUUUGACGGUAAUCAACCAGAAAGUCACGGCUAACUACGUGCCAGCAGCCGCGGUAAUACGUAGGUGGCAAGCGUUGUCCGGAUUUAUUGGGCGUAAAGCGAGCGCAGGCGGAAAGAUAAGUCUGAUGUGAAAGCCCCCGGCUUAACCGAGGAACUGCAUCGGAAACUGUGUUUCUUGAGUGCAGAAGAGGAGAGUGGAACUCCAUGUGUAGCGGUGGAAUGCGUAGAUAUAUGGAAGAACACCAGUGGCGAAGGCGGCUCUCUGGUCUGUAACUGACGCUGAGGCUCGAAAGCAUGGGUAGCGAACAGGAUUAGAUACCCUGGUAGUCCAUGCCGUAAACGAUGAG